AACAAACGCUGGCGGCGUGCCUAAUACAUGCAAGUCGAACGGGGAAAGCUUUCGGGUGAGUACUAGUGGCGCACGGGUGAGUAACGCGUGGAUAAUCUGCCUUAGAGUGGGGGAUAACUAGUCGAAAGAUUAGCUAAUACCGCAUAAGACCACAAGAACUGCGGUUCAAGAGGUCAAAGGUUUUUCGCUCUAAGAUGAGUCCGCGUAAGAUUAGCUAGUUGGUGAGGUAACGGCUCACCAAGGCAACGAUCUUUAACUGGUCUGAGAGGAUGAUCAGUCACACUGGAACUGAGACACGGUCCAGACUCCUACGGGAGGCAGCAGUAGGGAAUAUUGCACAAUGGAGGAAACUCUGAUGCAGCGACGCCGCGUGAGUGAUGAAGGCCUUCGGGUCGUAAAGCUCUGUCGCAGGGGAAUAACACAAUUAAUGUACCCUGUAGGAAAGGAUCGGCUAACUUCGUGCCAGCAGCCGCGGUAACAC
rnacentral:rRNA from 1 species